GAUGAACGCUGGCGGCGUGCUUAACACAUGCAAGUCGAACGAAGCACUUUAUUUUAUUUCCUUCGGUACUGAUUAUUUUGUGACUGAGUGGCGUACGUAUGAUUAACGCGUGUUUAACCUGCCUUGUACAGGGUGAUAACAGUUGGAAACGGCUGCUAAUACCGCAUAAUCGCACGUCAUCGGAUUAUGCAGUUUGAAAAACUCCGGUGGUAUAACAUGGACCCGCGUUGGAUUUGCUAUUUGGUGAGGUAACGGCAAACCAAGGCGACGAUCCAUACCCGACAUGAGAGGGUGACACGCCAGAUUGGGAAUGAGACACAGACCAAAAUGCUACGGGAGGCAGCAGUAGAGAAUAUUGCACAAUGGGCGAAAGCGUGAUGAAGCGACGCCGGGUGAGAGAAGAAGUAGUUCGGAAUGUAAAGCUGUAUGAGAAGGGAAGAGAAUGACGGUAACUGACUAAGAAGCACCGGCUAAAUACGUG
rnacentral:rRNA from 1 species